UACGGGGGGGCAAGCGUUGUUCGGAAUUACUGGGCGUAAAGGGCGCGUAGGCGGUUGGAUAAGUCAGCUGUGAAAACCACGGGCUUAACUCGUGGCCUGCAGUUGAGACUGUCUGGCUUGAGUGUGGGAGAGGAGAGUGGAAUUCCUGGUGUAGCGGUGAAAUGCGCAGAUAUCAGGAAGAACACCCGUGGCUAAGGCGGUUCUCUAGUACGGUACUGACGCUGAGACGCGAAAGCGUGGGGAGCGAACAGG
rnacentral:rRNA from 1 species